rnacentral:antisense_RNA from 1 species
CUGGUGAGGUGGGACUUCAAUGUCUUUUAGGUUUACAGUCUUUUCCUCCCCACGGCUUCUCUUUCCUCCCCGUCUCAGGCACUGGGCAUUUCCAGUCGAUCCAGCGGGUCUGGCUUCUCUCACAUAUGCAGUAAGGGUUAGGGGAGAAGGUCCCAGCUCCUCUUGUCUUUAGCAGAGUGUAAACUGGCUCUGCUGAGGAGGUGGCUAUCCUUUUAUUCCUUCUCCUGAGAACUGUUUAUAUAAUAAGGAGCUUCACAGCCUCCAACAUAAGGAAAGCAGGCCUCAAACUUCUUCAUGGGAAAAAACGGCUUCUCUUUUUUAAUUGAAUGAACUAGAAGAAGUUCAUUGUUAUUCAUCAACUUCAAAGAGACUAUAUGAGGCCCCUUGGCCAGGACUACAGAGUAGUAUUUUUUAAUCAGAAAUUAUGGCCAAAAAGAAGAGGAGACCAGAACACAUGGGUCUGCAGCGUACCAGCAUUUGUGAAGGCCUGCAGUUCGUAGAAUGAAAUCUAUGUGGAGAUGAUUUAAAAGAACGGUUUCACUGCUAAAAUCCUUUCGAAAUGAGUUCCUUUAAGUUCUUCAGUAACUAAAUCCCCCAGAAAGGAAAGCAGAGAGAAUCUAGCCCUAUACAAUAACAUCCUCUAACAAAGAUUGCUAAAGGAAGAUUUUAGUAGAUGAAUAUCUUCAAUAAUACAUGGUCACAUACAUGUAUCCGACCAUAUGAUGGCUCUCUGCACCAAAUUCCUCCAAACUAUUAUAAUAUGUAUUGUCUGUAGUGCUA